GGAUGUGAGGCUAUCAGGCUGUGACACCUGCCACCCCAUUGAUCGUUAGAGUUGAUUUGGCUGAUAUGACUGGCUAGGCGGGUGUCCCCUUCCCUCACCACUCCAUGUGUGUCCCUCUCAAAGCAGCACAUAGUGUCUAUAUCUGGGGAAGGUAUUCCAGGCAGAGAAAAAGUAGUGCAAUACUCUAAGGAAUAAACCUG
rnacentral:snRNA from 1 species